UAGGGAAUAUUGGACAAUGGGGGCAACCCUGAUCCAGCCAUGCCGCGUGAGUGAAGAAGGCCCUCGGGUUGUAAAGCUCUUUUGUCCGGAAAGAAAAGCUUCGGGUUAAUACCCCGGGGUUCUGACGGUACCGGAAGAAUAAGCACCGGCUAACUUCGUGCCAGCAGCCGCGGUAAUACGAAGGGUGCAAGCGUUACUCGGAAUUACUGGGCGUAAAGCGUGCGUAGGUGGUUGUUUAAGUCUGAUGUGAAAGCCCUGGGCUCAACCUGGGAAUGGCAUUGGAAACUGGGCAGCUAGCGGGCGGUAGAGGGUAGUGGAAUUCCCGGUGUAGCAGUGAAAUGCGUAGAGAUGGGGAGGAACAUCUGUGGCGAAGGCGACUGCCUGGACCAGCACUGACACUGAGGCACGAAAGCGUGGGGAGCAAACA
rnacentral:rRNA from 1 species